rnacentral:rRNA from 1 species
AAUCAACGCUGGCGGCGCGCCUAACACAUGCAAGUCGAACGGGAAAGGGGAGCAAUCCCUGAGUAUAGUGGCGUACGGGUGAGUAACACGUGGGUAAUCUACCUCUGGGUGUGGAAUAACCUUGGGAAACCGGGGAUAAUACCGCAUAAGCCCGAUGGGGGAAAGUCGAAAGACGCCGAGAGAGGAGCCCGCGGCCGAUUAGCUAGUUGGCAGGGUAAAAGCCUACCAAGGCUCAGAUCGGUAGCCGGCCUGAGAGGGCACACGGCCACACUGGCACUGAAACACGGGCCAGACUCCUACGGGAGGCAGCAGUGGGGAAUCUUGCACAAUGGGGGAAACCCUGAUGCAGCGACGCCGCGUGAGCGAUGAAGCCCUUCGGGGCGUAAAGCUCUUUCGGCAGGGAAGAAACAUGACGGUACCUGCAGAAGCAGCUGCGGCUAACUACGUGCCAGCAGCCGCGGUAAUACGUAGGCAGCGAGCGUUGUUCGGAGUUACUGGGCGUAAAGGGUGUGUAGGCGGUCCUCUAAGUUUGGUGUGAAAUCUCCCGGCUUAACCGGGAGGGUGCGCCGAAAACUGGGGGACUAGAGUGCGGGAGGGGAGAGUGGAAUUCCUGGUGUAGCGGUGAAAUGCGUAGAUAUCAGGAGGAACACCGGUGGUGUAGACGGCUCUCUGGACCGUAACUGACGCUGAGACACGAAAGCGUGGGUAGCAAACAGGAUUAGAUACCCUGGUAGUCCACGC